CACAGUUGGGUUAAUUUUUUUUCAAAAUUAAACAAAACCAAUAACUGAUUUUCCUUUUGUCCCAAACUUUUCAUCUUCUUCUCAUUCGUUUUCAGCAUCGUUAAUUUUUUUUCCUUCAUCUUCUUCUCCUUCAUCUUAACAGUUUCAAUCUUUCUCUGUAAACCACCAAAAACACAGACCCAUGGCAACAUCGCACCAGACCCAUCAUUAUCACCCUUUCUCUUUGUAAACGGGUUGGGUUUUGCACUCUCUUCUUCAAUAAAUCAGGUGUUGUUCUGUCGUGUAGAUUCAUCUCGCUCAUCUAUAACUCAAGAACACAGAGGGUCUUAUAUUCACGAGAACCAUUUGGGUUAUGUUUUCAUAUUGCUCCAUGGAUCACAUGUCGGCCAAGGUUUUACAUGGUAUGAACUUGUGUAUCACUUCAAGUAAAAAUUAACUUCUUCAAUCAGGUGUUAGCUCUGCAGUUUUUUUAUGUAAUUUAUUUUUCAUGCCUUGAGAGAUCCUUUCCCACCUAAUUGCCAUGGAAAAAUCACUCACAUCCGCAAAGGUCAGAUUGUUUGCUUCCUUGCAA